UCAUGAUUAGCCAUUUUCAUUUUCCCCUCUGUUUUUCUUCUUUCUUCCUUAAAAGAGUUUAAUUUCUUUGCAUAUCAUGCAAAAAAUAUAUAUAUAUUUAGGAACCCAUUUUCUUGAUUUAGCCUAAAAAGUAGUUUUUUUUCUUCUUGUUCGGUGGGAAAUAAAGAAAAAAAAGUUCAACAGCUCAGAGUUGUAUUGGGUUUCGUAAAAUUUGUUUUUUUUUUUGGUUUUGUGUGUUUUUUUCUUAUAAUAUCUUACAAAAUCCCGAGGUUUAUGCGUUUUUUUGGGGAAUUGGGGUUGUGAGGAUGGAUUUUGAUCUCCAGGUUUAAGGAAAAUGGUAGAAACUUGGUAAAGGUUUGAUUUUUUUUUGAAAAAAAAAGUGAAUUAGGGUUUUAGGAGUUGUUUCUGGAGCAAUGUUGCUUCAGAUAUUGUUUAAAUUUGAAUGAAAUAGUUUCUGUAUAUGUAAUUUUACUUCAAAUCAGGGGAGGAGAAAUGUCUACUAUAGUUCGUAGUUCGUUAGAGGAAAUGCUGGAUUCUCUCCGGCAAAAGGAUGAAAAUGAGAAGCCAAAAGACUUGCCGCCGGCGUUACCUGCUCGGCCUAAGCCUACAUCGAGAACUAGGCCUCCUUCACAGAGGCAACCGUUGAGCAAAAGGUUAAGCAAAGUUAAUGUUGAAUUGGAGAAUGGUAAGAAGAAGGAAGAGUCUAAAGGGUUGAAAAGGAAUGUUUUUGGUGCUAUGAAGGUGAAAGGAAUGGAAGAUAGCGAAUCGCCGUAUGCAAUGCCUUCAGUGAAGAAGAACAGCACAGGGAGAUUGCGGGAAGUAAGUGGUGGGAAGGUUGAGAAAUGGCGUAGUGAAGCGGAAUGGGAUGAUCGGCUGGAUUAUUUUGUUAAGAAGGUAAUAAGAGCAUUAUUUUCAGUAGUUUCACAUGUUGACUGUCUUAAUCGCCUUGAACGAGAAUGGUUUGAUUGAAUGAAUCUAGAAAAGUUAACAUUUUUAGCUAAAUGAUAAGUAAAAUUUGUACAUGUGCUGGAUUUGGCUUCACUAGUUUUGUCAUUGUGUCUGGUUUGAUUACUGUUGGAUGAUUUCUUGGUUGCUCUCAGAUGACCAAACUUAACUCCUAAGCUCUGUUUUCAGAAGCUUCGCAUCUGGUGUCGUCUGAGGAAUGGGGCAUGGGUAUCAGGACAUAUUCAAUCAACUUCAGGAGAGAAAGCUAUGGUGUUACUUUCUGACGGCAGUGUAAGUUCAUGUAUUCCUGCUAUUUCCUUAUGAUAAAUAUUUAAAGUGAACAGCUGCAAUUGGACUUAAACUUUGUCAUACUGUAGGUUGUGACAGUGCCUGUAGGAGAAGUAUUACCUGCUAAUCCGGAUGUUCUUGAGGGUGUGGAUGAUCUCAUGCAGCUUAGUUAUUUGAAUGAGCCAUCUGUUCUUCACAACCUUCAUAACAGAUAUGCGCGAGAUAUGAUAUAUGUACGUCAUAUUAAACUGCAUUUAUGCCUCACAUGUAAUUUCAUGUCUAUUCUCUUUUAAAUUUUUUUGUCCCCUAUGCCUGCAGAGCAAGGCAGGGCCUGCUUUAAUAGCAAUCAAUCCGUUCAAAGAUAUCCAAUUGUAUGGGAACGAAUUUGUUACAGCUUACAGACAGAAGCUCUUGAAUGAUCCUCAUGUUUAUUCUAUUGCUGACACUGCCUACGAUCGAAUGAUGGAAGGUUAUCCUCAGAACCAUGUUCAUUCUUAUUAUUUACAAAAGUUCAUUGUUAACUCCAUAAACACUUUAGAUGCAAGCUGAUUCUUGUUUCUUUCUUUACCUUUUGAAUCUUGCAGAUGAGAUAAGUCAAUCCAUUAUCAUAAGGUAUGUGAAAAUGUUUCCUUGUCAUCUUUAGGGAUGCCAGAUACUUGUAUUUCUACUUUGUUUCAGUUAUUGAUGGCUUAGAUUGUAAUUAUCAAACUCAUCGUGGUUUCAGUGAUUGGGAGGAACUAACUUCUUUUCAUUUCAUACAGUGGGGAAAGUGGAUCUGGGAAGACGGAAACAGCAAAGUUUGCAAUGGAAUACUUGGCUAUGCUUGGUGGAGGCAAUAAUGGGAUAGAGAAGGAGGUUUUGCAAACAAGCUACAUAUUGGAGGCCUUUGGGAAUGCCAAAACUUCCAGGAACAAUAACUCCAGUCGAUUUGUCAGUCUCUAUGCCUGAUUCUAUGUUUAUUUUUCUUUCCUUCAUUUGAGGAUGGGAGUGGUGGACUGGGAAGUGGAAAAGUUUAUUUGUGUUAUUUCCCCAUCUGUUGUACUUUUUCUGAUGGUUGUCCUUGAUGGAUGCAGGGAAAGUUGAUUGAAAUUCAUUUUAGUACAGCAGGAAGAAUAUGUGGUGCUAAAAUACAAACCUGUAAGUGUAAUUGUCUUUUGGUUUUCUCAGAGAAUGCAAUUUAUUGUAAUUGUCCUUUGAUAUAACUGUUACUGACUUUUAUACAUCUUUGUGCAUGUCCACUGGCCAAUGCUAAAAUAAUGAGUAGUGAUUCUUGAAAAGGUGGGAUUUUCUUCUCCCCUUUACCAUGGAUUCCUUGUUGUAGUUUAUACCAUUACUAUCACAAUCUAAAUCUUUUGAAGCAUAAUGUCUUCUUUGGGCAGUCGAGAGUGGUUCAGCUGCUUGAUGGAGAGAGGUCCUAUCAUAUUUUUUACCAACUAUGUGCCGGGGCUCCACCUACUUUGAGAGGUCUGUAAUUGAUAUUGGACCUUUGUUUGUAUCUUUUUGUUGCUUACUUCACUAGUAGGACUUUACAUGGCUUUUGCCUUGCAAUGUGUCUUCACUGUCAGAACAACUUUUGUUUUUAAUACUGUGUGGUUACAACACCUGAGUUGGUUUUAGAAUAUCUCUAGAACUAACAAUUCUGUGAUCCUAAUGGUGAAAUUGGGAUUGUGAUUCUGAAGUUAUUAAAAUAUCAGUAUAAUAGGAUACAAGUGUAAGGUAGCAGUCACAAAACUGUAGUGUUUUCAACAAGACGUUAAACAUGAAAGUGGCACGAGGACCAGGAUUUGAAUCCUAACAGAGGGGACAAACCUAUGUCAUUUCUUCCAUGCCUAAGCUUUGUUGGGUCGAGUUACCCGAUAAAAUAUGUUCUGGUGAGACUUGAGAGGAUGCAUACAACCUGUGAAAUAUGAGAGUGGUGUGCAAGUUAGCCCGGACAUUACUGUUGAAAAAAAAUGGAAGUGGAACUUUCUAGCAGAAAAAUAUAGAAGUUAUGCAUACAGUUCAUGAAUAAUAUAAAGUGAAUUUUGUUGGCGUUAGAAAACCUUGUGAAAUGGAAGUUCUUUCAAUAUCAUGUGUGUAUAACUAUUUGUUUUUCUAGCAAGGACAAUUUUUAAGAGAUCGAAUUUCUUUUUUGUAGUGCUCUAUAAAUAUUCUUUGUUUCUAUUUCUCUUCUUUAGUGGGGCUGGGCCACUGUGGUGUUAGUUAAAGAUCUUUGAAAAUAUAAAUUAGUUAAAGAAGUUGCAGAAUAUUUCGUUUUCAGAACUUUAAUUUGAUUUUCUCAGAUAAACUUAAGUUAAAAGGUGCAUCAGAAUACAAAUAUCUCAACCAGAGUGGCUGCUUGGUGAUCCAUGAUGUUGAUGAUGCUGAGGAAUUUUGUAAGCUUAUGGUGAGCCUUAAGGGAUAAGAAUUGGUCAACUUAUGUUUGAUUUCUGUUCUUUCAGUUCAAUGCUGUUCUGGAUCUUGUUUAUAAUUAUUUACUUUGUUUCUCUCACUUUUACAGGAAGCCCUAAAUACUGUUGGGAUUUCUGAAAGGGAUCAAGAGCAUGCUUUUCAGAUGAUUGCUUCAGUUCUAUGGCUGGGAAACAUAAUGUUCCAAGUAAUUGACGAUGAAAGUCAUGUUGAAGUUGUGCAAAGUGAAGGUGAGCUAUCUUGUCAGUGUAGCAGUUUAGCUAAUGUUGAUCCUCUUGAGGUUUUGUUCUUUCUGAAUGUACUAGAAGAUAUGAUUUCAUAACCUCAUACAUAAAUAAAUUAUCUUACACUCUUGGUCAAUUGUAAGUUAACUUUCCAACUGUGAAUAUCUGGGCUUGACUUUUGUUCAGCAUCUAUAUUGUCGGUUUCAGCUUUAACACUUUCUUCGCUUUUGAGUGAAGGACAAUCUAUUAUAUUCCGGCUUGUCAGUUGGUUGUUUUUCGUUGGAGUAGUUAUUUUAACUCCAGAUGUACUCUUCGUAACUCCAUUUCUCUGCAAUAUUGACUGUUGAGGAAUGAGGGUCUAUCUUAGGCUUUUCAACGUUUCUGGGCCAGAGCAUUUUACAUUGUCAUAAACCUCUGUUGUUCGGAUUCAUGCAAGUAUCUUCUGUAUUCUCAUGAUAAUUCUUUCCUGCACCUCUUGUAUGGUCUUACUUUGUAAUACUUGUAAAGUUUCUUUUUCACUUUGUAUGCAAAGUCUUCAACUUUUUUAUAUCCUGUUCUUGCAUGGAGGCCUUCUUUAUCUGUUUGGUUUGUCUCAAUCUUUGAUAUUGCAGCUGUUACAAAUGCUGCUAGCUUGAUUGGCUGUACUGUAAAUGACCUCAUACUAGCUUUAUCAACAUGCCAAAUACAAGCUGGCAAGGAUAAGAUCGCCAAAAGUUUAACUGUAGAGCAGGUUUGUUGAAGUGCAUUUAUAUUUAGUCUCUUCCUAUUUUCUCUUUGUUUCACAUUUUCAUCCCGAGAUUAACUAGAAUCUGAAUUAUUCACUAUUAAUUAUUCUAAUAUAUGAAUUUAGCACUCCUAUUUCUUCUCUAGAGAACAUGACUCAUUAUAACUCUGAUUCAGGCAACUGACAGAAGAGAUGCAUUGGCAAAGUUCAUUUAUGCAAACUUGUUUGACUGGAUAGUAGAUCAAAUGAACAGAAACCUUGCAAUGGACAAAGAACAGAUGGGUAGAUCCAUAAAUAUUCUAGACAUUUAUGGUUUUGAAUCAUUUAAGGUAAAUUGAUCUGUGAGUGAUUUUUUUACUGUUAUUCAGCAUAGGAGAUUCCUUCUUAUCCACCUUGACACUCCCAUUCCCACUUAUCAGAGAAACACAUUUGAACAAUUUUUGAUAAACUAUGCAAAUGAGAGGCUCCAGCAGCAUGUCAACAGACAUCUAUUGAAGCUCGAGCAAGAGGUAAGCAUAUCAUGAUCUUCCCUACAUCAUUCUUAUUGCUUCAUUCCUUACCUCUACUACAACAAGAACAGACACAACAGACCCGGUGUAAUCCCACAAGUGGGGUCUAGGGAGGGUAGAGUGUAUGCAAACCGUAUCCCUAACUAGGGAGGUAGAAAGGUGAUUUCUGAUAGACUCUCGGCUCAAGAACAAACACAGGAUUGUUACACUCAGUUUUCUCUCUGUAGUUAUCCUGUGGCAUUUUUGGGCUGUAUACUCUCCUGAAGAUAUUCCUUGCAGUAUCAGUUUUAGAUGUCAAUGCAGGAACUGAUGUUUUAUGAUUCAGGAAUAUGAAUUGGACGGAAUUGAUUGGUCAAAAGUAGAUUUUGAAGACAACCAAGAGUGUCUGAAUCUUUUUGAAAAGGUAUUUCUUCCUUUUGGUUCUUUUUCCUAUUUAUUUGGCGUCAGGAGCUUAUAUAAGCUGACAACUUUCUUCUACCCCGGAUUACAUGUUUACAAUCGUACUUAAUUAGAUGUCACUGUGUUGUUGCUCUUUUUGUUUUUUUGUUUGUUUGUUUGAUUUUUACAUCUUUUUCUCGUUUAGUCUGAUUACUCUUUCCAUGUUUAAUUAUUAAGUUGGAUGAGAAGGAUAAAAAUUAUCUGUUUGUAUUGUCACAAGUUGUAAAAAUUAUCAAAUACAACUUUCUUUUUUAUCUCAAAAAAAAGUUGUAUUUGAUAUAACUUCCACACCAAUUUUGUCAUUGUCAUAUUACUUCUUUCGAGUGAAGUCUUGCAUAUUCUGAUUACUCUUUCCGUGCUUAAUUGUUGAGUUGUAUGAGAAGGAUAAAAAUGAAUAUGCUUAUGUAGUCACAACUCACAAAUUCUAUUGCGAUAUCUCGAGUCGAAUUACCAAUGUCAAUCAUAAAGAAGAUCUCUGUAUUUUAGUUGAGCAAUCUUCAACAUUUAUUUGAAUAGACAUAUCAGUUGAUAGAUGAACUUCCAUUUUCAUUUUGCAGAAGCCAAUUGGCCUUAUAUCUUUGUUGAAUGAAGAAUCAAAUUCCCUAAAAGCCACAGAUUUGACCUUUGCAUGUAAACUUAAGCAGCACAUCAAAUCUAGCCCUUGCUUUAAAAGCGAAAGAGAAGAAUUUUGUAUUCGUCAUUAUGCUGGAGAGGUCAGUUUCUCUUAUAAAUGCAUCCUUUCUAGUCCUGUUCAAUUUCUACCCACAUUAGUAGUAUUUUCACGAUUUUGGUUAAGAAACUUAAUAGCUUUCACAUUCCCAUGGUCAGACUUACGCUCAAUUGUUGGCAGAGUUUUUCUUUCUUUUCAUGGUUUUAUUACAGUGACCAUUUUGGCGGCACCAUCCUUGUUUCGAUUACUGUUUUGGUGGCAUUAUGCUUGUUUUCAUUUACCACCAAUGGGGGUGUGCCUCUUGACCAGUGACCCUCUAGCUGUAUCUUGUGAUGACUCUUCUUAUAACUUCUCACAAGUGAUUUUCCAUCUUCAAUCCAAACUACACCACUACACCAAUAAUAUCUGGAAGAUUUACUUUAUCAUACCUCUUUCUGGUGAUUGAUGAUAGAUUCUUAUCCAUGGGUGCUGCAAGAAGAACUUUCUUUCUUUGUGCCAGUACUAGCGCUUUUUAGUGGAAAAGAAUUCCAGAAUCAUGUAAUUGUUCUCUAUUUCAAUAAUCUCAGACAACCGCUUUCUAUUUUGGUUAUCUUUCAGUAGUUCUAGUAACAUAUUCUUUCUUGCUUAAUAUUUUGGGGACUGGUGCAUGCCUAAAUAUCAAUGGACCUUUUGCUAUCAUGGCUUGAAUCGGACUUAUCCAAAUAUCUAGGAACAUCUGGAAGUCCAUUUCAGUAUUGGUAUGGUGGGUAAAUUUGGAGAGAGAAACGCUAGAGCUUUUGAAGGCAAGAAGGACUAUAUAAUUAACCUUUAAUUCAAAUAUGUCUUUGCUUAUUUUUUGGUGCAACAAAGCCACAUCAUUUGUUUUAGAGACAGAAGUUAUGGUUGACUUCCUUGGUUCUUUACAUACUCUAUAAUUACGAAUAUGAGUUUUGCAGGUAACUUAUGAUGCAACUGGCUUCUUAGCAAAGAACAGAGAUGUGUUGCAUCCUGACAUUAUUCAGCUACUCUCAUCAAGUGAUAGUCACCUGCCUGAAGAUAAAAAAUUCUCAAUUCCAUCAACUGAUACAGGGGUGCUAGAUUUUAAGAAGCAAAGUGUUGCAACUAAGUUUAAGGUGGUUAUUUUCUAUAGAACUUGAUCAUGCUAACAAACCAAACAUUUGGAAAAUAAAAGUUUGUAUCUUGAGGUGCUAUGAUUGUUUCUCAAUGUUGUCCUUUAUCAAAUUCUGGCAGGAUAAUUUGUUCAAAUUGAUGCAGCAAUUGGAAAAUACCAUACCACAUUUCAUAUGUUGCAUAAAACCAAAUAAUAAGCAGCUUCCUGGCAUGUCUGACAAAGAUCUUGUCAUAGAACAGCUCAGAUGCUGUGGUGUUCUUGAAGUGGUUAGAAUAUCAAGAUCUGGCUAUCCUACUAGGUUAACACAUCAAGAAUUCACAAGCAGGUGACAUACACGAUCCUUAGUUUGUUGCUGAUUUGUUCUUUUGGUUGUUUGUCAACUUAUAUAUGUGAUUGCGGUAUUUUAGGUACGGCUUCCUUCUGCCAAAGGAUAAUGCAUGCCAAGAUCCUUUAAGUAUGUCAGUUGCCAUUCUUCAUCAAUUUGGUAUUCUUCCGGAACUGUACCAAGUUGGGUAUACAAAGUUAUAUUUCCGAUCAGGACAGGUGAGUUCAUGGUUUCUUGUUCUUUUGUGUGGAUAUGUUUACUUCUCAAAGAAUUUAUGUCAUUUACUAAAUCAUCUAAAGGAAGCACCAGAAAUUUUAAUUUUCUUCUAAUCAUUACACUACUAUAUAGUUGAACCAAAUAAUGAUAAAUGAAAAACAUGUGGUGUGUCGAUGUGCACGCUAGCUGGCCCAGACACCAUAGUUAUCUUGAAAAAAGUGUGGUGUCUUCCAAACUGGUGGCACCACUUUGAGGAAAAAUCAUAUUUUUGGAGGCAUAUGUCUGUUUGGAGAAGGGUUUUGAGUGGUCAAACAAUAAAAAUGGCAAAAGUUAUGGCUUAUGGAUAUAACAUAUCCUCUAACAUAUACCCAAUAUGGGCUUCUAGUAAGAUAAUGGACACAUACUAUUGAAGAUUGGAUUUCCUUGUGUGCCUAUAUGUGAACUUCUGUCCCUCUUACAUGUAGAUUGCUUCAUUGGAGGAUGUAAGGAACCAAGUUCUGCAAGGUACUCUUGAGGUGCAGAAGUGCUUCCGUCGUCAUCGUGCUCGUCGGCACUUCCAUGAGCUGAAAGGAGGAGUAAUCAUACUUCAAUCAUGUAAAGCAGAUUCCUUUGCAACUCGUCUUUUUACUUCCCUUUUUUCUUAUAAUACAAUAGAAGAUGAUAUUCAUGAAGAAUGUUGUGUCUAUCAGGUUGUAUGAGUAUUUUUCCAUUUCAAGACUGUAUUAGAUAUCUUCAAAGUUUUGAGCACUUGGGGAUGCCAUUCAAGUGGUUUUAGAAAAAGAAAAACAGAUAACUACAAUUUUGUCUUCAUAAUUUUUUUAAAAAAACUAUAAUGAACUGCCUUUGAACCAUUGUUGGAAGUUCCAAAAGUAACUAGUUAUGUGAACCGGGUCAAUUUUGAGGUGAUGCAUCAAUAUAAUUAAAUUAUAAGCUUUCAAUGCUGAAUUGUACCUGAUGUUUGAUGUCAACAUUUGUUCAUAUAGUUAUUCGUGGUGAAAUAGAAAGAAGGCUGUAUAAUACUAAAGUGAUGUCUAAAGGGAAGGUUGCUCGUGAAGGAAGUGAUGAGCAGCUGGUGGCUGUUGUGCAGAUACAAUCAGGUAAAAGUUAUUUGCAUGGUAUCAAAUAUAUGAAACCAAAUAUAGAUUUGGACAUCUUCUUUUGGCAGCUGGUUAUGAAACCAAAUAUAAAUUUACACAUCUUCUUUUUUGCAGCUAUUCGUGGUUGGUUGGCUAGAAGGGAUCUUCGUAAACUGCAGAAUUCAAAAAUGUUAAAUGUAGACAAACGAAGAUCAGGCAGAAAGACGGAGGUCAAGGUACUCUGUGAUAAAGAUUCACACCUAUCCUUACUAGUAGUCCUCAUGCCUCAUUUUUUAUUCCCUUAAUAGACCUUAUAAUGGAAUAAUUAGCAUUUUAAAAGUUCUGCCAUAGAUUUUAUUGUAACUUUUCGUGUUUCUUCGUUCAGAAUUGUAAAGUCUGCUUCCGGACUAAUAUCUUUAAGAAUUUGGUGGCCUGUUUCAUGAAGCCAAUUUUAGGUAUUUCAUUUUUUUCUUCUUUUUUGGGGGGGAUAGUUAAAACCAUUUUUGGGUAUGCAACUGCUUUUCUGAUUUCAGGAUUCAGGGGAAUCUUUCUUCAUUUUUUAUUCUUUCUUUGGAAGAUGAAAUACUCUGGCAUCUCGAAAAUGCCGAGUGUUUGAUUAUUGAAAUUGAAAGAAAAAUAUGGUGAGAGAAUGAGUAGUAAGGCCCUUUUUUGGCUUAUACAUUAGUCCUUCCCCUCUCUCAUGUAGAAGCUAAAAGGGGAAAGGGAAAGGACAGUUGGUGAAGAAUCACUGAUGGAUAAAUCAGGAUAAUGGCUUCAUUUAUCAUGCCUUCCCCUUGCUGCAAACAGUUGAGGCAGCAAUGCAGUCUUUGAUAUUUUUACUGACUGCUUGAGAAUCUGUAGUAGUAAGUUUGAAUUUUUUAUGCAAGCAGGAGUUGCCUCGAGAAAUCCUACCAUCUGUUGUAGAAGACCUCGAAAGACGAGUUGCAAAGGCCGAGGCAACCAUUGAACAGAAGGAAAAGGAAAAUGCUGCCCUGAAGGAACAAGCAAACCAAUUCGAGGCCCGAUGCUUAGAAUAUGAGGUCAAGAUGAGGUCAAUGGAGGAGAUGUGGCAAAAGCAAAUGACAUCAUUGCAGGUGAGUAAGCUGCAAUAUGAUCCUAGAUAGUUCAUUUUCUCUAGUUCUUGGUAUCCGUAGUUCUAUGAAUGCUCUACUGAUACUGCUGAUGCUGGAAAUUGAGUUUCUACUUGUGAACUCAUAUUUAUGAAUUUACAAGGUAAUUGAUUGCUUUGUUAAAGCAGGCUAAUCUAGCUGCAGCCAAGAACACUCUUGCCGCUGGUGACACUACUGGUCAACCUGGAAAGCUUGAAGGUUCCCCAUCUCCUCACUAUUAUGAUUCUGAUGAUGCAACAUCUAUGGACACUCCUGCGGGACGCACUCCAAUUAACUUUUCUAACAACAGCUUGGGUGUUGUAACUAAUAGAGAGGUUAAUGGUGGUUUAUCCUUAAUCAGCCACCUUACAAUGGAAUUUGAACAACGGAAGCAGAAUUUUGACAACGAAGCCAUGGCAAUUGUUCACUUGAAGCCAGGGCUGUUACAUUCUACUAAUAAUCCUGCAGAUGAGUAUCGAAGACUUAAACACAGGUUUGAGGAAUGGAAAAAAGAGUACAAGGUCCGGUUAAAGGAGACGAAGUCAAAAGUACACAAGCUUGUUCAUUCUAAAGCAGGGAAGAGUCAUAGAAAAUGGUGGGGUAAGAAGAGCAAGUGAUUUUAGCUUAAAAUAAUUCUCGUCUUCUUCUUUAGGGUGUUAAUAGAUGGAACUAAUUUCCCCAACUAUGGUUGCUAAGUUAGCAAAGUUGGUGGAGAUUGGGAAAUAGUACGUACGUGUGCUCAAUUAUGUAUCUCUGCAAUCGCUUAGCUAGAUAGUUAAGAACUUGUUUGUGAAUAGCCUGUUGUAAACAAUGCUAGGUUGUGGAAGUAUAUUAGAUAGCUUGCGAAAAACGGAUUGAAUUUCUCAGUCCACACGUCUUUUCGCAUUAGCAAAUGUUGUAAUUAGUUGUUGUUGAAAGAUGGUGAUCAAUUGUAGAAAAGUCAUUACUUGAUUGUUCACAACAGCACAAUGAGUGGCCAAAUGUGAUGGUAUCAUUGUGUUUUGCUUAUGAGCAUUCUUGUUUCUCCCUUAAACUCUUUUCACCAAUGUUGUCCUACUUUUUAAGUUUUUGUCAAGUUUGAACGUUACGAUAUGGAUAGUGAAGGUUAAUAUAGCUGAAUUCAACUUAUUCAUUGAUGCAUAUUCAAAUGAAUGCUACUGGUUCAAGUGUAUGUAAAAUAAUUUUCCUUUGACAAAUAUUUGCAUUAUGAAUGAUUGAGUGGUACAAACUACAAAGGCUCUUAUGGAGGAAGUCAAAAUGUAAAAAAUUUAAGAUCCAGGAACAAACUUAGUUGCAUAAACCCAUGCAUUGUUUGCAACAGGGUUGUCAAGGUGAUCCAAUAGGUUCUCAAGUGGGCCUUUGCCGGUGACAAUAGCUUGAACGAAGAAUCCAAACAUGGAGAACAUAGCUAAUCUUCCGUUCUUGAUCUCCUUAACCUUGAGCUCGGCGAAAGUUGUUGGGUCAUCUGCUAGGCCCAAUGGGUCAAAGUACUGACCACCUGGGUAUAGAUUGUUGCCUUCACCAACUCCAGGAAGCCCAUUAAUUCUGAAACCUUCUACAAGGCCCAUUAACACUACUUGGAAGCCCAAUACUGCUAGAAUGCUCUGAGCAUGGACAAGGUUUGGGUUGCCCAAAUAGUCCAGCCCACCUUCACUGAAGAUUUGGGCUCCAGCUUUGAACCAUACUGGUUCUUUGAAGUCCACUUUUACCCAUUUUUCAAGAACUUCUGGUGUAAUGCAACCAAAAGCCCCAAGCAUGGCCCAUCUCCCAUGGAUAACCUAGAAUUAUUAACACAAUUUUAAUCAAUAUCAAUCGAUCAACUAUGUCUCAAUCCUAAAUUAAUCGUCGACAAUUAUAUGAGUCUGCUUCACUUUUUUGUUCUAUCCUAAUAAAAAUGAUACCUUUAAUAUUUAGAAACAAUUUUACGAAAAUGAUUUUUAGUCACAUAAAUAUCUGUUACUACUAGUAAAAGAAAAAAUAUAGUACCUCAAGAGCUCGGUUCUUGGCAAAGGCCUCGGGAUCAGCAGAUAAACCAGCAGUAUCCCAUCCGUAAUCACCAGGGAAUUCUCCAGUCAAGUAUGAAGGAGUUUGAGCAGAAAAUGGUCCCAAGUACUUGACACGGUCAGGUCCAUACCACAAAUCAUUACUCUAACGAAACAUUAAAAACAGAUUCAACUUAAUUCAGUAUCUUUGUACACGAAUCAUAAAUUUAUUCGAAUUUCAAUAAAUAUUAAUUUUCGAACUCAAUUAUAAAAUCACAAAAUAAAAAUAAAAAUUACCAUGGUGAAUCUGGCAGAGCCCAUAGGAACUAUAUCCCUAAGGGGGUUAGCAUAUUUGGUCUGGCCCAAAAAUGGAGUUGCUCUAACAACUGUGGCUGAGCUGCCUGUUGCUGCCAUUUCUUCUCUUUCUUAAUUUCUCUCUUAAUUAAUUGGACCUCACAAUUUUCACUAAGUUUCUUGCACAAUUUAUAUAUAAAGAAUAACUGUUGGAAAAAUAUCUGGAGUGGUCCAUCCAACAAUUCUGGUUCUUGUGUUUUAGAAAAUUGUGGUGUGAAAUAGUUUUGAAAUUUUUGUAUCAACCAAUGAGAAGUGUUUAGUAGAUUUUGAGUAUCUCCAUGUCAUAUCCUUCUAUCCAGAGUUUUAUCUUGCUAAGCCUAACAUGUAGUAGUACAAUAUUAUAUAUGGUCAUUGGUCAAGCUUUUUGGAUUUUCAUUUUAUUAUUGUGAUGUACUAAUAACUUGCAAGUUGCAACCAACAUAAAUAUUGGAUAAUUUUAUUUACGCAGAUUUGAAUAGAUGAAAAUAAAUCGAUCACUAAUAUUUUAUCCAGGCUAGAAUUUGAAUAUGAAAUUUUAUGGUAUUUGAUAAAAUCAGCAGCAUAAGUCUGCUAAAUUGCUCUGUUCUUCCAUUAAUGGAGGUCAAGCUUGUGCACAGAGGUACUGGAUUGAAAGAGAAGAGAGAAAACUUUUAUUAAAGAAAAACUAAAACGAUAAGUGUUACGUUGUGUUCCUUAUAUACAAUUUCUAAUUAAUAAAAUCUAGAAGCAUCUACUCAAUUCUAGAAUAAUGAAAAGCAACUAACUAACUAACUAACUUCACUGUUGCAACUAACUAACCAACUCUACUGUGCUAACAUACUUCAUUGUACACACUAUAUUCUAAAUAGUAUUUAAGACUACUUUUAUAUCCAUGCACUCUAUUUUAACAGUUCUUUGCUUAAAAAUCCUCGGAUCGAUGCUUCGCCUCAUCCAUGCUCCUUGGAAACCUUGACUCUUCAAUAUAUUAGAUUUGAGUUCCCAGCUUGCCAAAGCGUUCAGACUCAUGUGCCUUCCAGAAAUACCAGAGUAAUUCGAGUCUGCUGCGUACGAUUAACCAACUUUUCCUAGCUGACUAUACUAAAUGAAUUUCAAUUGUCAAUCUCCAAUCUUGCGUAUGCCAUUUACACACUUUUCUACAUUUACGAGCUGUUGGAAUUAAAAAAGUAUUGAAUUGAAGAAUCAAAUAUAUUCUAAUUAACAUCUGUCCACGCCAUCCUAUGAUAAGAGCUGGUCAAAGAUAACGCCUCAAUCACUUACUAACUUACUCCGUAAAUAGCUAGCAAGUGUAAUAAAUCAUGGCACCCCAUACAACUAAUUAAUACAAUUUUCUUCUGAAACUUCUUCCAUUGGAUUCUUUUGUUUUAUUGCCUUUCAUUGGAUGGUAAUUCCAAUGCAUAUAUGUUCUCAAGGAGUCCCCUUCAUACCUCUAUGCUUAAUCAAGCCAGGAGUUGAUCAAUUAAACCAUAAUUUUAGGACCAUAAUUACAAGUGCAUUGCUCUAUAAACAUAUUUCACUAAAAGAAUUAGCUGAAGAUGUCUACAUACAUAUAUUUUUGAAAAAGAAAAUGAAGAGAAGCACAAGGGAUAUAUAUUGGAGAUUAUCGAAAGGAUUAAUUACUUGAGUGGAUCCCUUUUAAAAAAUAAUUACUUAUUUUAAAUAUACUCUUUAAUUAUUACCAUUUAUAGCAAUAUCUAACAAUACUAUGUAUUUUAUUAUAUUUAUUUUUCUUUCUCGCCUCUUUCUUUUUUUUGUCUCUAGCCUUUUCAAAUUUAUCUCUCUCUCUCUCUUUAUCCCUUUCCUUCUUUCUUUCUGUACGUUAUUCUUUCUCCAUUUCUUUCUUUCUGUACAUUGUUUUUUCUCCUUUCUUUCUUUAUGUUGCUCUUUCUCCCUCUCUUUCUAUUGUUCUUUCUCCCUUUCUUUCUCUCUCUACUUUCUUUCGUAUAGUAGUCAAUAAUUCGUAGAUAGAAUAAAAUUUGUAUCAAUAAUUAAUUGGAAAAGUAAUCUAAUCGUAACAAAUGAAAAGAUAUAAUAAACUGCAAAAUGAAUUACACUUGAAUUAAAAAUGUAUUACACACAUAUUAAAGUUGAAUUAGAUGAAAUUAAACAUGAAUGCAAAAUAUAGCAAACGAAAGAGCAUUCUAUGAUCUGUAAACUGAAUAAAACUUGUAUCAAUAAUGAAUUAAACAAGUAAUCNNNNNNNNNNNNNNNNNNNNNNNNNNNNNNNNNNNNNNNNNNNNNNNNNNNNNNNNNNNNNNNNNNNNNNNNNNNNNNNNNNNNNNNNNNNNNNNNNNNNNNNNNNNNNNNNNNNNNNNNNNNNNNNNNNNNNNNNNNNNNNNNNNNNNNNNNNNNNNNNNNNNNNNNNNNNNNNNNNNNNNNNNNNNNNNNNNNNNNNNNNNNNNNNNNNNNNNNNNNNNNNNNNNNNNNNNNNNNNNNNNNNNNNNNNNNNNNNNNNNNNNNNNNNNNNNNNNNNNNNNNNNNNNNNNNNNNNNNNNNNUGUAUUAUUCAUGAAUAAAACAUGUAUUAUAUGUAUCUUAUAAAUUAUUUUGGUUUGUAUCACUAAAAACAUGAGUGAUGUUUGCAAUAUGUAUUAAAAUGUAUUGUGCAUGUAUUAUAAGUGUGUUACCUAAAUUACUUUAGUUGAUAUCAUUAAAAAGGGAGUGAAGUUUGCAAUAUGUAUUAUAAAUGUAGGAUGUAUUAUUCAUGAUUUUAAUACAAUUAUGGAACAUAUCUAAUACAACUUUAAUACAAACGCGAUAUAAUUUCGUAAACUUCAUCCUUUUCGAGUUUCUAUCUAAUAUUUCUCCUAAAAUCAAUUCCAAACUUAACCAAACCCUCUUGAAAUUGAGAUAUAAACUUCAAACGAUAUUUUCAAUUAUUCGUAGGAACAACCUAUCCAAACUAAUCGCAAACGAAAGAGCAGAAAGUAAUCUAAUCGUAACAAAUGAAGAAACAUAAUAAAUUGCCAAAUGAAUUAAACUUGGAUUAAAAAUAUAUUACACACAUAUUAAAGUUGAAUUAGAAGUGAAUUAAACACGCAUGCAAAAUGUAGCAAACGAAAGAGUAUUCUGAGAUUUGUAAACUGAAUAAACUUGUAUCAAUAAUAAAUUAAACAAGUAAUUUAAUCAUAACAAAUCAACCAAUAAACUGUAAAAUGAAUUAAUUUGUAUUAAAAGUGUAUUACACAAAUAUUAAAGUUGAAUUAGAAGAGAGAAUUAAGCAUGGAUAAAAAAUGUAACUAAUGAAACACAAGACAAUCACCUAUAGAGUGAAUUAAACUUAUAUCAAUAAUGAAUUAAACAAGUAAUCUAAUAGUAACAAAUAAUAAACUACAAAAUGAAUUAAAUUUGCAUUAAAAGUGUAUUACACAAUAUUAAAGUUGAAUUAGAAGAGAAAAUUAAGAAUAAAAAAAAAAAACAUUACUAAUGAAAAAUAAGAUAAUAAUCUAUAGACUGAAUUAAACUUGUAUUAUUCAUGAAUAAAACAUGUAUUAUAUGUAUCUUAUAAAUUAUUUUGGUUUGUAGCAUUAAAAACAUGAGUGAUGUUUGCAAUAUGUAUCGUGCCUAUGUUAUAAAUGUAUAACAAAUUUGUCACUUAAAUUAUUUUGGUUGAUAUCACUAAAAAAGGAGUGACUAAACAUUUUUAUAUGUGUUGUAAAUUAUUUUGGUUUGUAUCACUAAGAACAUGAGUGAUGUUUGCAAUAUGUAUUAAAAAUGUAGUGUGCAUGUAUUAUAACUGUGUUACGUAAAUCAUUUGGUUGGUAUCAUUAAGAAGAGAGUAAAGUUUGCAAUAUGUAUUAGAAAUGUAUUGUUCAUGAAUAAAACUUAUAUUAUAUGUGUCUUAUAAAUUAUUUUGGUUUGUAUCUCUAAGAACAUGAUUGAUGUUUGCAAUAUGUAUUGUGUCUAUGUUAUAAAUGUAUUACAAGUUUGUUACUUAAAUUAUUUUGGUUGAUACCACUAAAAAAGAGUGAAGUUUGUAAUAUGUAUUAUAAAUGUAUUGUUCAUGAUUUUAAUAUAAUUUUAAUACAAUUAUGAAACAUAUCUAAUACAACUUUAAUUCAAUUGUCAUAUGGUUCCAUAAACUUCACCUUUCGAGUUUCAAUCUAAUAUUUCUCCUAAAAUCAAUUAUAAACUUAACCAAACCCUCUUAAAAUUGAGCUAUAAAUUUCAAAAGACAUUUUCAAUUAUUUGUAGGAACAAUCUAUCCAAGCUAAUCACAAAUUCGUAAAAUUUCAAAUAAUGAAUUCAAAAUUUGAAACUUUACAAUGAACAUUAAUGGUGAACUCUUGUUGCUAUAAUUUUACAGAUUUGAAAUUUUUGCUUGAAAAUAUGAUUUUGUACAAAUUUUCAUCUUUCCAUUUCUUUUUCCGUCGUAUUUUUGGGUAAAAAUAAUGAAAUAUGGGCAAAAAUUGAUUUGAAGAUAGUUAUUUAUAUAUAUGAAAAUUUCAAAGAAGAAGAAGAAGAAUUUUUUUAAAAAAAAAGAAAGAAAAAAAAGGAGGAAGAUAAUAAUGAUAGAAAAAGAGACAAAUAAGAAGAAGAAUAAAAAAAAAAAAGCGAAGGAAGAUGAAAAAGGGUAGACAAUUUCUUAAUUCCAAAAAUUUGUUAUAUUUAGUUAGAAAAAUUAUAUUGUCAUAGAUGGUAAAUAUUUCUUUAAUAUAGCAUAUUUAUGUGAUUUACCCUUAUCGAAACCUAUAACGCUCUUGCGAAAUAUUGACUUGGUAUGAUAGAAGUCAAUUAAGUGUCAGUCCUUAGUUGUUGGUCAACUGAUUAGUUGUUAGAAUAACUAGUGCAAUGUGGAAAAACUAAUAUAGUUGUUGGAAGAAAUAGUUGGACACCUACCGAAGUUGUUCCCACAACUCACUUGUCACUUUUAUUUAAUCGAAAGACUUAAAAGGACUUUUAGCUCUUGUCACCUUUAUUUAAUUGAAACCUUAAAAGUUUCAACUCAUUUUCGUGUGAAAGGAUGUAUGUACGUAGUUCCUCGUUAUAUAUAUGAGGGUGCGCUCUUUUUUCCCUUUUCCUAUGGUACACCAUACACGUAUAAGUCUAAAUGUUUUCGAGCUUCAAUUGGUAUACAUUAAUAAUACAAAAGAUUUUCUUGCAAUGCAUUUACAGUAUCCUUUGAAAUAUGCCUGUUUUUUAUUUAAGGUUGACCCGUGAAUAUUUCAUGCCAUGAAGUAAAAAAUGCGAGUUCUUACCAUCAAUCUAUUCGACCUCAAUUCACCAUUUUAAAUUUUAUACAAAAAAAUUUAUAUACCAAUUCUUUUUUUCCUAUAUCGUAGAUGAAACAACUAAAAGGCUGAAUUCAGGUUACUAUACACCCCAACCCUAACUCCGUUCCUUGGAAGAAAAUAAUGUAACACCGAAAAAAGGAAAGCGAUCGAAUUGACAUAUAUAACUUAUAGAUGUGAUAAUAUAAAUGUGAAAUUAAGACUUUGAAACUUCCUAAUAUUGUACAUUGGAGUGUAUAUAUAUGCCUUGGUUGACAACGGUAAAAUUAUUGAAGAAGUGACUUCACGCUAUUUCCUGGAGAGAUGGAAAACCGGUCAGCUUCAGCCUCGGCCUCGGCUUUCGGGUCCUCUAGGGCAGCAGAGCCCUUGAAGAGCAAAAUAGCAAGGCUGCCAAUAUAGAAAUGGAUGAAACAACCAUAGCAAUGUGUUACAAAUGAACCAAAAUCUGUCCCUACUAUGCAUUGCCACCCUGGUCCAUACAUCGUAUCAAAUUCCUAAUUAAAAAAAAAAAAAGGGUUAGUAAUUCAUAAUUAACUCAUUUUGAGGAAAAAACUAUAUAGUUCGAAAGGUAUAUUAGCUCUAAAUGACAAAGUUGAAGGGUAUAUAUAUCAAACCCUUUAUAGUGGUGAAACCAUAUAAAAGGAAGGAAAUUCAAUCACGAAGUAAUUAUAUUUGUAUAUUUGAAUCCUUUUAACCUAUAGAGAAAUAUAAGUUCAAAUCUCAGAUAUAACAAUAUUCUUCUGAAUAAUUAGGAAUUCUCUUAUCAAAAGUACUAGCUUUUAGCCGCAAUUAAAUCCCUUUAUUAUGUUCAUAAGUAAAUUAUUUUCGCUUUUAUAUAUCCCCUUGGUAUACAAAUUUUCUAGCAGUAGUAAAGAUGACUAGGUUCGAAUUCAAGUAGAGAAAUUCACUAUCGUAUUUGAAUCUCAUUAUUAUAAUAUGACAGAUGUAGAUCACUAGGUACGGAUUCAACUAAUACUCUCAACUUACAUAAAUUUGUAAUAUUUUAUUUAAAUGCAAUCAGUAUAUUCAUCAACUCUAAAUUCUAAAUUCGACUCUAGCUAUUACUAUAAAAUAUAAAACCUUAGUAAAAGAAAAAACAAUUGAUCUAUAUAUGAUUUGUUACCUUUUUAAGAAAACGUGCAAUUUCAGUGGCCUCAGUGACAUCAAAGAAGUCAAGUGCCUUUGCAGCUAAAUCUAAUGCAUCUUGUUGCAUGGUUCCCAACAUAUCUGUGUCUCCAAUUACUGCUUUCCCUUCCAACAUCUUCAAAAAAAAUUAUUUUCCAAAAAAAGUGUGAUUUUUUUAAUUUUAUUUUUUGCCUUUCUUUUUCACUUUUUCUCUUUUUGUGUUUAUAUCAUUUUCUAUUUUCUAUUGAAUUAUAUAAGGAUAAAAGAGCAUAUAGAUGAGGAUCCUGAAUGUGUGGAGGUCAAUAAUUAGACUCAUAGGUUAAGAAAUUAAAGUGAUAUUGUAGUAUAAUUCCAAAUGUCCACUUGAGUAAAAUGACAAAUAUAGUGGGCUAGCUUUUGUUUUGCCAAUUAAUACUUUUUCUAAUAGUAUAUGGCUACGAAAUUUACCUAAUUAUAUAUACGUACGUACAGACUUAAUUUCCAUAUAUAUAUAUAUAUGUGUGGUGAAUGUAGUCGCAAUUUAUCUUUUUAUAUGGUGUUGGACAAACCUCAACUCAUGAGGUAGCUUUCAAAAUUUGAUUUCGGUCAAAGUAGAUUUUCUUUAGUUUUUUAUUUAUCCAAUAUCGAACCUUAUAUUAUGUUAUCCACACUUCAAUUGUCAAGCCUAGAAUUAUGCAUUAAUGUAUUUCCCUCAAAUCUCAAUUUCACAACCCAACACGUGAAGAAGGUGGUGUGGAAUGGUGAUUAGAGAAGUGCUGAAGUGUACAUACGUUUAUAUCCUCCAAAAACACCUCAACAAAAGCUCAAAAAAUAUUGUAAAUAAAAUAGUACUACUAAUAUUAUGGAUACAAACAGACGCAAAGUUAGAAUUUUAAUUUUAUAAUUUCUAAAUUCAUAAAUAAUGAUAUGAGAUGUUAAUUAAUAAUUAGGUUUCAAAUCUAAAUUUUAUUUUAAAAUAUAGAAUUUAAAUGUAAUUACUAAAGUUCAUCCAAGUAAGUACGAGUCGAUUUUUAGCUCCGCCCCUAAUAUCAAGACAACUCUUUCUUAAAAGAAAAAGAAGAGACUCGAUCACACGUAAUAAAUAAAUUGCGUGUUUAAUAGUACACCACUCGCUUUUUGUUUGCUUAUUCGUGCUGGCAGGUUAUUGUAGGCUAUUUUGGUUUUGGUUAUCUUGUUUUGGUUGUCAUUUCCCUUUUUUCUUCUUUAAAUCUUUUCAAUGAAGGUGGCCAAUUUGAUAAUAGAAAGUAUAAAUGAAUGGACAUUUUGGUGGGAAGUGGAUCUAAAUCAUAGAAUAACUACUUUUUACUUAAUUUAAUUUGGAGUUAGACCAUCCAUCGAAAAUUAUAACCUCUAAAUCUAUUUUCAUAAGGUAGAAAUAGGAUUGCAUACAUAUACACUGCACUUUAUAUGGUUCACUUAUAAAAUUAUACUGAAUAUAUAGUUAUUUGCUAGUUGUUAAAGACAAUUUCCUUCCAUGUAACUUCACUAUCAGUGUCCGGAGACCACAUUAGAGCUCCCACUAAAUUCGGAUCGCGCACUGCAGGGCCUAUUCCAACAAGAUUUUUUCCAUAUCCAGGUCUCAAGUGUCUGUGUCUGGAGACCACAUUAGAGCUCCCACUAAAUUUGGAUCGCGCACUGCAGAGCUCAUUUCAACAAGAUUUUCUCCAUACUCAGAGCUCAAACCCGGUGAAACACUUUCACCGGUGCACCAUAACCCAUGUUGUUUGCUUGUAACAUCUUCAAUAACCAAUCUUUUUGUAUGUAAAUUUUGUGGCUAUGCCAACAGCCACAUGGGCUUCCAACUUGUCCUCAGCUACAUACCUACCAGGAUUCAUCAUCCACAAACCGAAAAAGAAUGUAGUAAACAGAUCUAAUUAUGUGGCAGUGUAAUUUUUUCAGUACAAAAUCUAGGUGACGACUUCUUUAUUUUUUAUUUGGAAAAAGUCGUACAAUAUUUAUUAUAACAUAUAGUUCUCCUCCUAAUUGUUUAUUGAAGAGAUUACAUGUGAAGGCAUCGCACUUUUUAUUAAGUGGGCAGAUGGAACGUCUGACAAAAUCCAACUCAACCUACCAAAUAACGUGUCAUCGACUCCUACUUCGUGUCGGUAACGACACUUCCCCCGCAAUGUCACUUCACCUCUAAUUAUACUUUUCAUUGAACGCAAAAGCAUGUCAUUUGUAUAAAGUUCAAUUAUUAUACGUGUUGGAUAAUGUCAACAUUCUACGUAUUGCAAGGUCCAUGAGAGCUAGGAUAGUUCGAAUCAAAGUCAUGAUCGAACAUGACACUUGUUUGGUGGACUUAAUUAAGCAAUAAAAUUAUGACUUUACUAUCAGAUAUAACUUUUGGCAUAAUGCGUAUAAAUUCAAGUAGCAUACUUGAAUGAUAAGUUAAAAUUACUAACGUUCUGAUAAUAAAGACUGAAUCAAACUACAUGUGAAUGAUAUUGAUACAAAACAACUUAUUUAGUGUAAUUUCGCAAAUGAAAUAUGAAAAUAAUUGUGCACAUACAAAUUUCAUCCAAUUAUAUAUGUUAAAACUACAAAAUAUAACUUAGAUAAUAAUUCUAUAAUCAAAUAUCCGUACACUUAUCCUGAAAUCUAGUGUAUUAUAAUUUCAAUUCGGAUAUCAGACAUCGAGUGAGAAAAACAAAAAAGGAAAGGAGCAAGGGAGUCUUGUUGUAAUAAAGGUACUAUGAAUAUAUUGAAAGGCACUUGCUUCGCCACCUUUUCCUCUCCACCAUCUCUUCGUAUUUUUACUAUUCUAAGCUUUCCAUUUUCAUUUCUCAUUUUUUUUCUUCAGUUCGAAAACCCCAUUAAAACAUUGUUUAAUUUCUGAGAAAUAUAUUCCAUUACAAUUUUCUCCAUUAAAGCUUUAACGAAUCACCAGGUUUGAGACGACUCGUCGGAAAAUGGGGCGCCGUCUCUUCACCUGCUUCGGCAAAGGCGGUUCUUCUCAAUCUUCUUCGAAAGAUCCCAGCUCAAGUAAUAACGACAGUGCGACGGCGGAUUUAACGGCGGAGGAGCAAAAACGGUGCGGGCCGGUGGUGGUGGAGUUAUUCUCAUCACAAGGCUGCGCCACCUCACCUGAGGCGGAGCUAUUGUUUUCGAGGAUUGGGAGAGGCGAUUUUAACCUAGAAAUGCCGGUGAUUUUGUUGGCUUAUCAUGUGGAUUAUUGGGAUUAUAUGGGUUGGAAGGAUCCAUUUGGGUCGAGUUUAUGGACGGUUAAACAAAAAGCGUAUGUUGAGGCCUUAAAUCUAGAUACUAUGUUUACGCCUCAAAUUGUGGUUCAGGGACGAGCUCAAUGUGUUGGGAAUGAACAAGAUGCUGUUUUCUCUUGUAUCAAUUCUGCUCCCAGAUUUGCUGCUCCUUCAUUCCAGGUUUGUUAUUGUUGCAAAUUGAUCAUAAUAAUGCACUAUUUGAUUGAAUUUAUGGUUACAAGAUCUUUCUGUUUGAUGAAUUAAUUGAAUCAUAUGCAUGAUUGAAGCAAUUGUGAUUAAUCAGAGGUGUCGGGUUCGAACUUUGUAAAUGAAAAUCUGGUAAGGAGUGUUUCCCUGUUUCGUAGCCUUAUGUGUCGUGGAUCCAGACUAGUCGAGGUAUGAAGCGGGGUAACUGACACCGAGUGUGAAACAAAAAAAGAGAGUAUUCAUGAGUACCAGAAAGACUUGAAUGAAUGGUGUUUGGUCUUCGAACGGGGUAGGGAAUGGGGAAAUGGGUGAGGGGAUUACAAAGCAGGAAAUCGAACCACUGCCAACAAGUUGAAAGUUCAGGCAGCGAACCAACUGAGCUACUGAGAUUUCUCCUGGAUUUUCAUGAGCUUAUUAUCUUCAAAUGCAAUUUAAACCAAUUUGUCUUGGUUAUUCCUUUUGAUCAAAAUGGGUACUGAGAAUUCAUAUAGUCGAUUUCAGUUAAUGUGGGAUUGAUUGAUUUGAUUCCUCGUGAUCACUUAUGGUUGCACCAAGUUGCAAUAUACUGAUCACUGGAAAUGAGAAGCUAAAAUGGGCAUUUUGGUUAUCUUCAAAUGCAAAUCAUGUUUUACGUUACCAAUUUCUUAUGGUUAUUCCAUCUCAUCCAAACAAUCAAAAUGGAUACAGAGAAAUGGUAUAGCAGAUUUCAAUUAAUGUGUGAUUGGUCAAUUCCUUGUGAUCUUGCACCAGGUUACAAUGUACUGGAAAUAAUAAGCUAAUAUGUAGUGUAAAGCCAAUGAGAAGCUAAUCUGUGGAAUUCGAGAUUUGAUCAUUUGGAUCUGAAAAAGGUUCAUGUUAUCCCACUUCAUACCAUAAUCAAGAAGAUGUUAGCUAUAUUUUUUACCUCAGCACAUUAUUCUGAUUCUUUACUUCUUGAAUUGGUAAAAUUCAGUUCAACACUCUUCUGUGUUUGUUGGGAACUUGGGAUUAGUAUAGUUUCUUAAACUGAACUCAGUGUACUUCGGAAGCUAUGAGUUAAGAAUUCAGUAUUUGCUGAAACUUUAGUUGUUUUCUCAAUUCUGUAUCAAAAAUACUGGAUUCAGUACGAACUAAUGGUUGUUUCUGGUCUAUGCUGUGAAAAAACAUUACAGGCGACAUUCGAGAGGCCAACACCAGAGUCGUUGCAAGUAUCUCUAUUAGGAUCUCUGAGGAGUAAGGUGGACAAUGAUGGUGCCAACGUGAUGAUUGCUCUGUACGAAGGUGGUCUGGUCACUGAUAUCGCUGCAGGAGAGAACAAAGGAAAAAUGCUUGCGAAUGACUAUGUUGUCAGGAGGCUGGAUAAGCUUUGCUCUGUAAAGGAUAUUACUGCAAAGAAGACAAUCUCAGGAACUGUCAACUUCUCUCUUUGGGAUGGCUUCAAUAGCAGCAAAUGUGGCGUAACGCUCUUUGUGGAAACUGGCUCUCAUCAAAUAUGUGGAUCACAAAACUUUAAAUUGCCGGAAAAUCUCUGAAUUCUUGGAUGAUAUAUCACUGAUUGAAACUCUUGAUGUGCUGGUUAUAGGUUGGAUUGCUUGUAGUGCACGUCUCUGAUUAAAAUCAAAUCUGCAAAACAUUCUAUAUACCAGCUUGUUCCUUGUGUAUAUAGGUUGUGUGAGACUGUUCAUGUUAGAUUCUUCAUCCUUUUCUUCUUCUUACUGUUCAUUCCUUUGCUUUUUUUAUAAACGGUUUGACAUAUAGUGAUUCUUUCCUUGUACUAUGUAAUUGGAUUAUUAGAAAUUGCGGCUAGAGAUAUUUUAGUGUAAAUGCUUUUCCCAACAUUUUAUUUUAGUUUUCACCUAAUCAUAUAAAUUUACUAUGAUUUAUCCAAGUUAAGUAGGAACAAUCUAAUUACACAAGCAUUCUUGCUGUAAAUACUAAUUCACUAUGUAGUUUGAAAUAAUUACAUUUUGUUGAAAUAAUUAACAAUUUUGUACAAAAUUUCAAGUUAGAUACACCAUUUCUUCAUAUUACAAGUCAGAUACAUAUGUAUACAUACAUGUAUCUAUGAAACCAGAUACAUUCAGAAAUAGAAAUACAUAGAGAGAGAGAAGCGAGCUAGAGAAUCAUUGCAUCUCAAAUACAUAUGAAUCACACUAAACAUGUAUCUUUAAGACUAGAUACAUAGGGAGAGCCGAGCGAAAGAGUUAGUGUAUCCCAACACUUCUUGGAUAUAGAAUUACACCUAAUUUAACUCAUAUGCAUCCAAAAUACAUGAUCUAAUAAAGUAAAUUAGAUACAUAAGGUAAUUUUGGAAACUAAAAUAAAGUCACUUAAUUAACCCGUAAACCAGUAAAAUUAGUGUUGUUUACUCUUUUAAGUUAAUGAGGUAAAAAUGCAUGUCAGUGAAUUACAAUCUUGUAUGCGUUACUUCAAUUCCCUAGCACGAGACACCCAUAGAUAAUUCCAAUUUCCACUAUCUACCAUAAUAAGAAUUAUUUUAGUUUCUGUCUCCCUUUGUGGAACUCAGAACAUUAUGGCUACACGAGCAGUAUUCAAAAGAAUAGGUUUUCAGAAAAAAGUAAUGCAAUAUCUACAAGAAUACAACCAAAGCAAUUACAUAACAAGCUUUUACUCCAUGAAGAAGAAACUAAACCUCCCACUGAUUAUUUUUCUUUACAAGACGGACCACACUGUCCGUUUUCCACCAUCCUUCGAAAGAAUUAAAGCAGAAUAUGGAUGGAUGUGGCUUGACAUUUCAAUUAUGGCAAAAGAAGGAACUUGCAUUAAAAUCCACUAGUUGCUUUACACUGAAUCAACAGCCUCAACCUGCUGCCGAGCGAGAUACUUCUCCCUUCGUUCCUUCUAUUGAACAAUAGCAAGCAGACACACAUUGUUAACAGGAAUCAAACUUGGAAAGAUACAUGCUUUUAUAUGCAAAGAUAGAUAGCCUUACCCAUUCAUCUAUUACUAGACCUUCUCCUACAACUUUAGGUCCAGUUUCAACAGGAGGUUUCUUGCGAGAUUCUAAUGCUGCCUCGGCUUCAGCCAACUGACGUUUUAGUUUUUCCAGUACCUUAAUCAAUCAAGUUAUUUAGUUGGAGAAUGAACUCGGAGUAAAAUGAACAAGCAGAUAAACAGCAGCAUGUUUAAUUCUUACUGGAGAAGGUCGUUCUGGGUCCAAGAACACCACCCGUAGGAUACGUUCAAUAGUCACUUGAUCCUUCUGUUCUUCAAACUGCAUCAACAUGAACCAAAAGGGUUAUAACACUAUUGGAUUUAUUGAUAACAAACUUUGAGUCACGCUAUAGACUUAUAUUCUUUAGUUACACAUCAGAUUUCACACACAAUGACGACAGAGGCACAAGGCUCACACAUUUGUUUUUGAGAGCACAUGUACCCAAUCACUUUCUGUAUGAUUACAUCAAGACUUCCCUCCAAGGGGUACAGAAUGAUGAUGAAAGAAAAGAGUCUUUUGUAAUCCUGACUUUGUCGAGGAGAGGACAAGAAGAAAUGGGUUAUGUAUGACAUUUGAUGCUCCUAGAUUUGAUACAAAAAAGAGACGGAACAUUUCAAACAUGGAGGUUGCAGGCAAAAGCAACUUAUCAUGGCUACAUUGUAAAAAAUACCUGAUCUCAACAGCUUCCUCUAUUCAAUGUCUAUGCUAUUUUUACAGGAUACUCUAACUGAUGUAUACAAUAAAGAAAAGUAUUUUGUCACAAAAUUCAAUUUGUGAAUGAAAGAAGCAGCAUCCACAUGUAAAGUGGAUUUUAAGAUAACACAUCUCUGUAAAAUUCAACAAUCCUUUUCUCUGAACAUACCAACAGCAACUUAUCCAAUGUUUGAUGCGACUUAAAAAUGGACGGGAAUCAGCUAAAAUAUACUUUCUUAGUCAAAGCUUACUGGAAAGUGCUUCCUCUAUGUCACAGAUAGCAAAGGUGGAUAGACAGGAGCAUGCAGAGAAGAUGUAGUUUCAAAUAAUGCCUGACCUAUGAUAGAGCUCCUCAUUUACCCACAUCUUAUCACAAAAUGCUCUAUUCAUAUAAGCAGUAAAAAAUAAUCCUAGCUGAUUUUCAUAAAUAUGUUCAGGUGGAUAGGACAGGGUCUAUUCCGAAUAGAUAAGUAAUGAACUCACGACUUUCAGUACAAAAAAGGACAAAAAUAAAUUGUCUAGAAUCCUGACAAGUGGUCAACACCUUUACCCUUAAAUAUGUUUUAUUAAAGUGCAUUAAAUCAUCAUCAAGAAAAUUGAUAUGUUGCUCAAAUGAUAAGUCUAUAGCUGAAGAAGCAUGAUACCCUAACUUUCUUUGUGGUCAAAAGAUGCUGCAAAUCCAUAAAAUUGCUUCUUUUAGAAAGAUCGAGGAAGUUCAGUUACUCACCAACUCAGGUACGUAAUCUACUCCUUCUUUCACCUUCAAGCUCAUGAUCUUGAACUUGACUUUGCUCUUUUGGUCAACAGGCUUUUCGUUGUUCUCAGGGUGCUCGACAAACUUGAAGACUAUCAUUUAGACACACAAUCCAAAUCAUAAUUGAUAUUUUUCAUUUACAAAAAAAUUAAAAGGAAUAGUGGAAGCAAGAAAACUUAGGAAAACCAAUUACCAGUGGCAACAACACUUUCACCGGGUUCGAGAAUGCCUCCAGGAGGUCGCAUGUAGCAGCUCUUUGGUGCAGUAGUUUGAAACUAAAAUGCAAAAAGAAGAAUCAGGAAAAGGAAGUAUCAGAAACUUACACCACCAGUAAUAUUGUGUGACAAUCAUAAACAAAACCUCCAUAUCACAACAACUACUACUACUAUGCUCUAUACUUCAAUCUCAAACUAGAAGAGGUCAGCUAUAUUAUUUACAGAAACACCAGUACAAAUAUUUUUACUUGAAGAAUCUUACAUGAUGCAUUGUGAAUAUAAGACCCAAGACAACCUCAAUGAACUUCAUUUUGCUUUCAUUAGCUAACUUCUAUUGGUUUAGUCUUUUCGACCCUAAAAGCAUAAAACACACUCAUUUUAUGUAGGAAUUGAAUUAGCUACAAUAAAGAGUAAACGGGAACGAUUUGAAAGUAGAUGCUAUUGGUUCAAAUCAUGAACCAUCCAGAAGAUCCAGAAAUGGUAAAAUCAUUAGGAAAUAAAUGACAGUUAGCCCCUACUCAAAGCCUUUUCCUUCUGAUAGAUGCAAACACUUGGCAGGCCGCAUAGAUUAAAAGAGAUUUCUGAAAACUACAGACCUAACUAGCACAAAUUACCAUAGUUGAUUUCUCAUAUAGUCACUCAACUAAUAGUUACUAGCUCAAAAAGUUUCCAAUUUUCUUCCACAAAGAAAGUGACUUUUCUGAGAUCAUAAUUAUUAAUUGAGUGACCAUUUGAGAAAUCAAUGCCAAAUAAAGAUUACCUUAAAUGCAACAUAAGAUUUGCUAGUGUUCUUAAUCUUUACAGCACUCUUCACCUGCUUUCCCGGUUCAUCUGGAAAAAAAAAAUCAAUAUAAAAUUUAACAGGUAAAAGCAGAGCACAAUUCCUCCAGUUUUCAACACGAAAAAUUAUAAGACCUAAAAAACCGGAAAUUGUUGACUAAAAAAGGUCAAUUUAGUCAACGGCGAGGUAAACGGACGUACAAGGGAAGUAGAGACUGUUAGCUGGAUCGAGCCGAAGUCUACGUCGAGCCGGAAGCAGUGAUCUAGCAACGGAGCUAACUGACGUAGAAGCACGAGAGCUGUUAGAUCCGACGCCGUUUUGGUGACUGUGAUUCUGAGAGUGAAGAUUCUGUGUAGACGACGAAGAAGAAGAAGUUCCUGAUUGCCAGAGAGGACAAAGCUUCCAGAGCUUUCCGUCGGAGUUAUGUGACUUGUGGUGGUCGGCGAUGGCCAUAGGACGGAGUUUUGGCCGGAAUCUAGUCGAGUUUACCGACGACAAGUUGCAAUUUUCCGGUGAUAAAAAUUAGGGCAGCUUGUAAUUGUCCUUAGUGAGCAAACUCUUUCACGACGUUGACUAUAUGUUUUGAAGGUCAGAAACAAGUCUUCGGGAAAUUGUUUUCUUUCUGUAAUUCGUCGAUUCAGCGGCUGAUAAAGACCACCGAAAGCUUAAAACGAUUUGGACAUAUAUAUAGCUGUAUUUUUUAAAAAAAAAUAAUUGUAAUUGUAAUUUAAGAGUAGAUAAAAUAAGUGCAACGCGUUAAAAUAGUUUGGACAUAUAAACGUAAGUGUGAGAGAUAACAAGAAGUUGAAAAAAUAAGUUAUGUUUAAAAAAAAAGGAAGUAAUUAGACAAAAUUUGACAGAUUUUACUAAAUACAUAAUUCUAGAUAGAAACUUUUGAAAGUCAAUGAUUAAAGUAGAAGAGGCUAGUAAGAUAUUAGUAAUGGGAUAGGCUCUUAUUCUUUAUUGCAUAUUAAUGUUACUUAUGGCUUGAUUUGUUUGAUAUCUUUGUUAUUUUGUCGUACUAUCAUUAUGCAAUUUUGUUUUAGAAAUAUGUCUUUUGAGACAAAUAUCUAAUUCAGUCUUUUAAUUUCAUAAAAAUAAGAAUAAUAGUAAGUUUAUCGUAUUUUUUACACUCUAUUUAUAUAUAUGAUUAUAAUGAGUAUGUUAUUAUCGUUAGUAUAAAAUUUUCUAUUCGAGUUUGAUCAAUUUGAAUUGGCAAAAUAUAAAAUUUAUUUAAAAAGAGAACAUUUUCUACCAUAAUUUUUUCAAUAUUUAAAAUUUAAAAUCAGUAUUUUUAUUUAAAGAUAAAAAUAUAUUAUUCAUCCCAUCAAGAUGCUUAAAAAUAUUUGCAGUUGAUCGAAGAGGAAAGUGCACAGAAAUAAGCGCGUUGUCGGACUUCAAAUCACAGUUUUAAGUGCAUUUUGUUUUUGUUUUCACUCCCUUUUACACCAUUAAUUAGUUGAUAAAAAUGGUCAAUCUUGCAAAAUUAUAGCAGUAACAUUCUAUGCACUAAGUUAAUUUAAUUUAACUAUCUUUUGGGUGAUUAAUUACUUGUGUACAUCAUUCAUGGAGUUGUAAAAUCUGAGCUUGACAUAGAAUCCUCAUAUCAUAUUAUAAAUUAGGCUUCAAGUUAGUCGGUUUAGACAUGCACGAUAUUGAGUCUUUGAUUGUAUAUGAUGUUCUCCUUGUAUGAUUUGAAACAAUCUUCACUUUAUGAGUUAAUUUUGAAGCUAAGUCUAAAUUUCAUUUUGUUAUCAUAAUAUUAAAGCUAAGCUAGACUCACCUCAAUUCUUUAUUUAUCCGAUGUUGAAUAGUCAUAUAACACAUUUACGCACCAAUUGACAAGUCUGGGCGUGAGGGCAUGCAACAACAAUGUUGAAUCUCUACAUCUACAUCAGCUAUUUAAGGAUGAGAUAAAAUAAGAUUACCCUUUUUUAUAUGAAUUUAGACAAUUUUCAUCUCACAAGCUAAGUUUAGAUUAAGUAAAUUUCAAGUUCUAUUUGUUAAUUAGACUCAGGUCAUUGUCUAUAGUCUAUAGUAGAUAUAAAAAUCAUCUAUAAAUUGGGACAAAAUCAAUGCAUGUGCAUGUUUGAAAGAGAUUUUAAUUUCACACAUUCCUCCUCACCUUUUGGCAUGAAAAAAAGUGUAAUAUAAAAGUUUCCAACUUAAAGAAGUAAUAGUAAAAUCUUCAUAUUUCAACUACUUAAUUCAAAAAUUGUUGACCUCUCUUCUACAUUUCAUAUAUUUUAAUAGUACUCCAAGUUCUUUUCAAAGUUUCUUGUAUUUUUUGGACUUUGUUUCCAUUUUAGAUGGCCACAAGAUUCUAUUUUUAAUCCAAUAUUCUAAAAUCCUAAGUGCUCAUUCAAAAAUAAUACACUACUUAAUAAGUUUUGUUGCUUUUAGAUAAUUAUACGCAUCGUUUUUGUUUUCAAUAUGAAAUUUAUUUGAUUCACAUCAAUAAAAACAUUUAAUUUAAUGAAUAAGAGUUCAAUUUUUUUCUUACAACAAGAUAUAGUCAUAAUAAACAUAUGUACGUAUCACUAAAAUUGAUAUACAUUUAUACAAUGGCCAGUGAUAGAGCAACAUGUAUCACGUAUAAUAAAGGACAGUCAUUUGGAUAUUUCUAAUCAAAAUAUUUAAUAAAAUAUAAGUAAAUAUAUAAUGUAACCUCAUAACGACAUAUAUCGAUUUAAAAGAUUCUAGAAAAAAAUUCUCAAGUAUUAAGUUAGACAACAAUAACAAUAAUAUAUAUCUAGUGUAAUUUCACAAAUAAAAGUUAAAAAUAAUAAUAUAUAUGCAAUUCUUAUCAUUAUCUCAUAAAGACAGAGAACGUUAUUUUCGAUAAACUCAGACAAGAUCGCAUAUAGAUAGAGGGACAAUAACAUGAGUAGACAGCGAAUGUGAAAUGGCACGGCAUCUGGCUGUUAGGCAAUGACAAAUUAAUAACUCUAAUGAUCACGCGUACCUAAUUUGUCAGUAAUCUUAUCAAUGAACAUUAAGUGUCAAAUUUCCUAAUUAAUUUUCUAUUAAAUAUACUUUUUUCAACUUUGAUUUUGACUUUAAAUACUCGUGAUUUUCAAUUAAUCAAACUUUCAAUAUGAAUUAUUCGAUUCUUUUUAAUUUUAAUAUACUAAACUUUCAUUCUGUGUAAAAUUCAAAAAAAAAAAAACCGAAUCACUGAGAUCUAUUAUAUCGAAACUUAUCAUACACAAAAUAUGAAGGCCAAUUUUAUGGAUUUUGUAGUGAAGGAAUUUAAAGGGGGAGUAAUAAUUGUUAGCAAAAUAAUUGGUGGAUAAUUAAAGAGGAAGGUGGAUGAGUUAUAGAGACAUUUACAUUUGUCGGCUCUGUGUUGUUGGUGUAGGUUAGUUGGAUGGUAGAAAUUAAUUAGGUAAUUAAACAACACUUUUCAGCUGAUUUUGACUCACUCCCUCAACAUUAUACUCCCUCCAUAUGUUAUUUCUCGGGAUUUGAGUCAUCUGAAUAUGAAAUCAUCUUUAUUUGAAAACGUUCUACUUUUAAUGUGAACUUUUCAAUACGAUUACAAAUUUCAUCUUUACUGUGAGAUUUUUCUAUACAAAUUCAAGUUUAUUAUACUCCUUUAAAUGAAUUAAUAACUCAUUUAUUUAUUAUCUCAAUCUAUUAUGAUAUACAUAUCCUUCCCACCGUCUAAGGUGAAUUUUAAAAUCAGAGAUUAUAACUCUAGCAUCAGUACAAAAAUUGAAAGUCACGUAAACCACUUAAAAAAAGACAUUAAAAAAAAAAUUAUACCAAACUUUAGGGAAUUGAAAAAGGAAAAUGGACCUCAUUGUUUAUUUGUUAAUCCCUCCGUUUCUUUUUAUAUGCUACAUUUUUAUAUUUUACUUGCAUUAAGAAAUCAAGUUUACCAUUCUACCUUUGUUUAAUAUUUUUUUGAAGUUAACUUUUUAAUAAAUGAUAAAUAAAGUCAUCUUUUAUUUUUAAUUUGUUUGUUGAGAUUUUUUUUUCAAAAUCAGAUUUUAUAGAGUAAUGCAAUAAUGAGAGUAAUUAAUCAAUGUAUGAAGUAAUUACAAUGAAUAUUAAUUAUUUAUUAACUUUCCUAAGUUGGUCAAAUAUCUAUUUUCAAGACUAAUUAACUAUCAAGGGUAUAAUAGGAAUAAUAUUAUAAUUUUUGCAUUGAUUUUAUAAAAUGACAAGCACUCUCUCUGUCCACUUUUAUUUGUCAUGUUACAUUUUUUGAAAGUCAAUUUGAUUAAUUUUCAAGUUAAUUAGACUACAUUAAUUUAAUAUUUUAAAUAAAAAAUUUAGAUAUUCAAAAUUUAUAUUAAAAUUACUAUAAAUGGCAAAGGUCGACUACACUAUUUCAAAAGAUUUUGAAAUAGUGUAGUCGACCCAUGGAAAAGAGUUAUGCUAUUUUCCCUAAGCACCUACCCACACUAUUUCACAAAAAUUUGUGCAUUGAGCAAAGUUGUAGCCCAAAUUAAAUCCAGAAUGAUUUUUCACCUAUUCUAUUGGAAUCAAUAAAGUGCUCAAGUACAAUAAUCUAUAUGAAUGUAGAUUUUCAAUAGAGUGAUUCUUCACCUAUCUUAUCGGAAUCAAUAAAACGAGAAUCGAUAUCGAUCGACCCGUACCUGAUAUCUUAAUUGUAAUUUGGGCACAACAUUAUUUUUGCUAUUGCUAAUAGUAAAAUUUUUACUUAAAUUAACUUCAAACAACUCAUAGUAUUACUAAUUAAAUUGAAAGUUCAUAUUACUUUACUAUGAUUGAGUGAUAAAAUGUGUUUGUUACAAUAAAUAUUCAAAUAUACUUAAUAUAAACACUCGCUGAGAAUAAAUUUUCAAAAUCGAAUCUCCAUUCAAACUUUGGUUAAAUGGUAUAACAUUACUCUUUUCACUAAUAGAUCAUAUAAUAAAUUUAAGUAAAUAACUCUAAAAUCUGACAGUACUUGGACCCCAACAGUUCAGAUCUAUAACUUUACUCAACGUCUCUUCCGUUUUCCUCAACUUCUCACCGGAGACGAUCGCCGGAGAAGAUGCCACCGCCGGAGCCGUCGAGAAUCUCCAAGCCGAGGUAUUAUUAGAAGCAAUUAAAUUAGUUUUGGCAUAGUGAUGAAUCGAUCUUAAAGCGUAAUUCCAUCUGGCAAAUCCUUGAUCUUUCAAUGCUUCUACUGCUCCAAUACUUGCUGCUACGAUCCAUGCCGAUCCCUUUGCUGCUGCUGCAUUCAUUUUUUUUUUUCGGAAAAUUAAAAAAUCUCUGUGAUUUUGUUGAUUGAUUUGAGAAUGAAUUAGAUGUUAAUUGUAUAAGUAUAUAUAUAAAAUGAAGAAUCUGGAAAACAGAGAGAAAGAAGGAAAUAUGAAACUACAGGCGGAUUUGCCUAUAGUUUUGGAAAACAUCCACAGUUUUUAAUUUACCUGCAUAAUUAAGUAAAAGGAAUUAAUUAGUGUGGUAAUUGAGAACGGUUUUAUCUAAUUACACAAAAUAGCCCUACCAUAAAUACUAAUCUACUCUAUAGUUUGAAAUAUUACACAUUAUCUCAUUAAUUCAUAAUUUCGUAUCAGAUUUCAAAUCGGAUAUAUUAUUCCUUCAAAUUUCAAGUCAAUACACCAUUUUUUUAAAUUUCUAAUUUCAAAUUAGAUAUAGAGAGAACUAGUGUAUCUGAAAUACAUGUGGAUUACGCUUGAAUAUAGUGUAUUUGAAACAAAGUAUACUUAAUUUGAUUCGUAUAUAUAUAUAUGAAAUACAUGUAUUUGACAAAGUACAUAUGAUACAAAAGAUAAUUUCGAAAACUAAAGAAAAGACAUGUAGUUAAAUCCUAAAAUAAUGAAAUUUGCGUUGUUAGCAGAAAAAACAAACUACGGUAGUUGUGCACGUGGCUGAGAUAUGAGGUACAUGUAUAUUUGAUAAAGUAAAUAUGAUACAAAAAUAAUUUUACAAACAAAAAGAAUAGAUGCGUAACGUAAAUUCUAAACUAAUGAAAUUGUGUUGUUAGCUAAGAAACAAACUAUGGCAGCUGGGUAUGCGUCUGAGAUACAUGUAUCUAACAAAGUAAAUAUGAUCAAAAGACAAUUUCGAAAACUAAAAAAUAAAUUACGUAACUAAAUUUUAAACUAGUGAAACUUGUGUUGUUAGCUACGAAAAAACAAACUACGGCAGCUGUGCACGCGGAAAUCUUUUCUUCUUUUUCUUUUGAAGCCAGUUUCCUAGUUAGAUAGGCCCACGAAUUUUGGACUCAUGGGUUGUUCACCGGGCCAUUUCCACUUUUGCCACUAUUUCGAGUUUGUCUAUAGUUUUUAGGAAAAAUUAGCAAUUAAGCCAUAAUACCUAAUAUAAUUAGUCAAAAUAAUAACACUUUAAAAUAUUUAUUUAAAAUGGCAGAAUGACAAUAUUUUUAUUAAAUAAUAUGUAUUCAGAUUUUAAAUUAAUUUUAUUUAUGAAAAGAGUCCUAUACUGGACCAAAUUAUAUAUCAAUAACCGUUUAAAAGUGAAAAAAUAAAAUAAAACCCAAUACCAUUAACCUUUUUUCAUCACCAUUCACGUUUCUUCCCCAACUUUCACGUUUCUUCCCCACCUUUCACGUUUCAAGUUUAUCUUUCUUCAAGGUGUUAAAUUGUUGUUCAUCAAGAAAUUUUCUUUAUAGUUAAACGAAAUCUCUUUAUUAAUUCAAGUAGAUUUCUCGGUUGGCAAGGUAAUUUCCAUUAUCCAUUUCGAUUAAUUAUUUAGAUUUCUUUUGAUUUGUUUUCAAUAUCAUUGUUUAUGGUUUAUAUUUUGCAUUGUACAUAUUACGGAUUUUCUGUCAAUUUUUUCGAUUUUUAUGCAAGUUUGUUUACAUAUUCAUCUAAUAUUUAUGUAUUUCAAUUAGUUAUUUAGAUUUCUUUUGAUUUAUUUUCAAUAUCACCAUUUAUGAUUUAUAUUUCGCAUUGUACAUAUUACGGAUUUUCCGUUAAUUUUUUCGAUUUUUAUGCAAGUUUGUUUACAUAUGCAUGUAAAAUUUAUGUAUUUUAGAUUUUUAGUCGAUUAAACAAUUUUUUUUCAAUUUUUUUCUGAUUUCGUUUUAAUAUUUCAGAUUUAUUAGAAUCUACAAAUUCAUUCAUAUGUUUAUUUUGUUUGAUUUUUAAUACAUUUAUAUUUGCUUUUAGGGUUUUAGAUUUGGGGAAAGCAUUUGUCUGUUUACAAUGUCUAAAUCAACAGUUUAUUUGUGUAUUCAUUCUAUCUAUUUAUCAACAAGUUUUACAUUUUUUGUUUUUACAUUGUAUUUCAAUCUCAAUUAGUAUACCAACAUGUUUGUAUUUCCUACUUAAUUUGUAUUCAUCCUAACUGUAUGCUAACAAUGUUGUAUUUUAUUGGGUAUUCAUUCUGUAUUUCAAUCUCAAUUUAUAUGUGAACAAGUUUGUAUUUCUCUUUUGUUUUGUAUUCAACCUAAUUGUAUACCAACAAGUUUUGUAUUUUAUAUGCCUACUUUACGUUUCGAAGUCACUUUGUAUUUCAAAUGAAGAGAGUAUUUAAUUUUUUGUAUUCACAACUUUAUAUUCAAUCUCACUUUGUAUUAACUUUGUAUUUUCAUCUCACUUUUGUAUUCAUAUAUUGUUGUAUUCAACAGUAUAGUUCAUGAUCCAUUAGUUUGUAUUUUUGACCUUUCAAAGUCACUUUGUAUUUCAAAUGAAGAGAGUAUUUAAUUUUUUGUAUUCACAACUUUAUAUUCAAUCUCACUUUGUAUUAACUUUGUAUUUUCAUCUCACUUUUGUAUUCAUAUAUUGUUGUAUUCAACAGUAUAGUUCAUGAUCCAUUAGUUUGUAUUUUUGACCUUUCAAAGUCACUUUGUAUUUCAAAUGAAGAGAGUAUUUAAUUUUUUGUAUUCACAACUUUAUAUUCAAUCUCACUUUGUAUUAACUUUGUAUUUUCAUCUCACUUUUGUAUUCAUAUAUUGUUGUAUUCAACAUAUAGUUCAUGAUCAAUUAGUUACAUUAACUUAAUGGGAUACAAAUUAUUGUAUGCAUUCAAAUAGAAAAAACAACUACUAAACUAAAAAAAAAUAAAAUUCAUUCGUUAUACAUCAUAAUUUGGAUACAAAACAUCCGAAAAAAGCUAUAAAUCCCAAUGCAUACAAAGAUUUCACUGAUUCAAUCAAAAAAAAAAACUCUUGUACUCAACAUAUACGAAUAUCUCAUCCAAACAAAUAAAAAAAAAUACCUGAUUGUUCAUUGGAUGCGACAAAUUUAUAGUUGUCAAUUUUGAAAAUUUUUGUUUCAAAAAUAUGUCGUAUUCAACUUGAAGAAGCUUUGAAAGUUAUCAGAUGAAUGAUUCGGAAGACAAACUAAAUUAUUUAAUUUUUUUUUUAUGUUCUUAAGAAGAAAGCAAAAAAACGCUCAACAGAAAGAUGACUAUUUAUGCUCUUUUCAAAACGUAACUGAUUUGUAUUUAAAAUCUUUUUUACCUUUUUUGAUAUUUUUUGUUCCAUGAUUUUCUCCGUUCUGUUAUUAAUUAUUUAUAUUCUUUCAAAUUAAUCAAAAUAAAAUAAAUACAUAACCAAUCCCUUAACAAACUAAAAUAAUGACAUUUUUAAUAAAUAAUGAAGCCUUUGCUAAAGAGUCCCACUAAAGCUAAAAUAUUGUUGUUUUGAAAAUUUCCCCUUUAUAUUCCUCGUAAUAAAUAAUUUCUUUACGAAAUAUAAAUUUAUAUUUUUCAUAUUAUUAUAAUAUUAACAUAAUGUAUUAAUAUACUUUUAAAUUUAGUAUUAACUGACAUCUAUAAAUAAACAUUUACAUAAAAUUAAAUAAGACGUAUGUAUCUGUUUGGUUAAUUUUAUACAAAUUUAAAUAUUUAUUUAAACGUAUUUAAAAUUAAAGGACAUAAAUAUCAAUUAAAGCCAAGUAAAGAGCACAUUUUAUAUUCAUAAGUUGUGUUCAAAUUUUUGAUGAAUUGAACUCAAUUUGACCCUUACUCACUAUCUUGAAAAAGAGAUUUAACUUCAUGGAAGUUGUUAAAUGUUUGAUCAAACUGAGUUACGGGACAGGUGCACAAACAUCACACAUCCGCCGCCUACCUACCAUUUAGGUGGUACCAAUAAGAUCCAACUACUUUUUUUUUAUACUCCCUGUGUUCGUAAUUUGUCCAUUUUUGAAUUGACACACUUAUUAAGAAAAUAAUUAUUGACAUUGUAAGUUUACCAUUUUAUCCAUAUUAAUUGUAAAGUAAAUGAAUUAAAAACUUAAGAUUUUCAAGAAGUUCUCCCAUUUUCAAAGUAAUUAAUUGAAGGUAUAAUAAGUAAAAAAAAAAGUUAUCCUUUCUUGAUUUGUCCUUUUUGAUUUGUCAAAAUGGACAAGUAAUUAGAAACAACUAAAAAAUAAGUGAAUAAGUAAUUAGGGACAGAGGGGUAGGUGUUUACCCUUGAUUCAAUCAAAAGAUUAAAUCAAUUAUGAAAACAUGAAUUGAAUUAGUCAAUCUAUUAAUGAAACAAGGUAAAAUAUUAUCAAAGACGAGUGAAGUUAUCAAGUCUCCGCGCGCAUUGCAUUGCUACACAUCUUGUUUUAGAGAAAUUUGAGAAGAGGUAGAGAGGGGACAUCAAACCUGUUGGAUCUGCAGUAAUCAUAUAACUCCUUGGUAAAUUGUUCCUUCAGAGAAUUAAAAACAUGAUUGAGUGUAGCGUUGAUGAAAAAUGAGAAAGGCCAAAAUACAGAAAUUCUCAAAUAUGUCAUCAACGCUGCACUCAAUGAUGUUUCUAAGCACUCUGUAAUAAAGGGCAGUUCGGUGCUCUAAAACUCCCUCUAUGUGCGGGCUCCAGCGAUACUAUGGACUAUGCACUCUACCAUAUUUCUGGAAAAUCUCCUGCUUCACAUUAUUUUGCAGCACACUUUCCACUUCCUUUUAUCUUAGUCCACCCUGUUAAUCUAAUUUAAUAGUAGGACAAUUGAAGUACUGCUGGAAAUUUUGGAGUAGUACAUUUGAGUAUGAAUAUAUUCGUACUUUUAAUUUUAGCUCUCUCUCAGGUUGUACUUGACUCUACGACUCAUUUGCAGUUAUCCUUGAGUUGUACUAGACAAUUUGUACUGCUGUUACUGGAAAUCCACUUCUUGAUUUUUUAAAAUUUGUUUAUUCCAUCCAUAUUGUAGUUUGACAAAGUAAACAACCCUACACAAAAUGACAAAACUGCAAUCCUGCAUUUGUUUUUGGAGGACUAUAGGUUCCAAAACUUGGUCUAGAGGUUAAGGUGGAGACAUGUCAAUGAAAUCCCAUCUAAAUGUGGUUAACAUAUUAUUCAAGUGCUGAUUUCCUCUCUAAUAGAGUAUGAACUAUGAACUAGGAACAAUAUUAGACCAAAUACAUAGACAACCCGUAAAGUUAUCAAUCAGACAUCUAAUGCAUGCCUAAAAAAGGCCUAUUGAGCAAUCAACAACAACAUUCAUUUAAAAUUUAAAAACAAAAGAGUAGGAACAAAUAAAAUCUAUUAGAACCAGUAGAACAGAAUGAUCCGUACAUGUAUGGAAGAAAAAUCUUUCAAAAUUCAGGUCCUAAAGAAGUUUAUACUCUUCUACUUGAGAUUUGAAUUUGUCUAAGAUCAAUGAAUGUUACGAGAGACAUUUGUCGUAUGUAUUCAACCUGCUUAACAAAUGACAUUAGCAAGCUGACUCCAGAAGUUGCUUGGUCCUGCAUGCAUAUCCCAACAUUUAAUCCUGAUCCGAGAUGUCCAUUGUUCAACUCUCAAGUCUUUCAAAAAAGUAGAGGUAUCCCAUAUCCAUAGGGGGAUUUUUUGAGACCCCGACUUUUUCAUCAUUGAAAAUCACCCACCGGCCAUCUUUGUUAAUAUGAGCGACAUAAUGGCCACAGUGGGUAGAUGUGCCGAUGUGGCUCACGAAUCCAAGGAGCCUGUAUUCUGUUAAUUAUCCAAGAAGAUACACUUGGUCAAGACCCAAGUGGGCAUAAAAGAAUAUAGAAGUAAACAAAAAUCUCACUAUCAAGGAUUGUGAUGCAUUGGAUGAAAUUCAUAAUAAAAUUGAAGUAUUAAAACCCUUUUAAAGAGAUGUAGGGAACUUCUAUCAUCCUAAAACUUUAGGUUAGUUAGGUCAAGUCCCAUU
rnacentral:lncRNA from 1 species